rnacentral:rRNA from 1 species
GACGAACGCUGGCGGCGUGCUUAACACAUGCAAGUCGAACGGAAAGGCCCUGCUUGCCGGGUACUCGAGUGGCGAACGGGUGAGUAACACGUGGGUGAUCUGCCCUGCACUUCGGGAUAAGCCUGGGAAACUGGGUCUAAUACCGGAUAGGAGCCAUUUUUAGUGUGAUGGUUGGAAAGUUUUUUCGGUGUAGGAUGAGCUCGCGGCCUAUCAGCUUGUUGGUGGGGUAAUGGCCUACCAAGGCGGCGACGGGUAGCCGGCCUGAGAGGGUGGACGGCCACAGUGGGACUGAGAUACGGCCCAGACUCCUACGGGAGGCAGCAGUGGGGAAUAUUGCACAAUGGGCGCAAGCCUGAUGCAGCGACGCCGCGGGGGGGAUGACGGCCUUCGGGUUGUAAACGCCUUUCGCUAGGGACGAAGCUUUUUGUGACGGUACCUAGAUAAGAAGCACCGGCUAACUACGUG